rnacentral:misc_RNA from 1 species
UAUAAGAAUCGCGGCCGCUCUUGAUACUUCCAAACAUAGCUUCCAAGUAACCGACCCGGCCACUCUGUCAGCAGGAGCAGCAGUGGCAGCAGGAUGAACGCGCAGAGAUUCGUCGUGGUCGUCGCUCUCCUUAGCUUCGUGCUGGGCGUGUCCCAGGCAGCGCCUUUCCUGGGCUACAGUCUGGGCGGCCUCGGUCCCGGUGUGGCGGUAGGCCCCUCGGGCUCGUCGGGCGCGCCCAUAGCCGUCGCCUCUUCUCCCGUCUCCAUCGUGUCCGAGGCAAAGUCUACGAACGUGGGGCCCGUGUACAGUGCGCCCUACAGCUACGUGCCACGCGUAGCGUACGCAGCACCCCUGCACGUGGUCGGAUACCACACACCAUACGUGGCAGCGCCGGGAUUAGUACACACAGUCGGCCUCGGAGUAGACCGCUACGGAUACGGCGUACACACUGUAGGGGUGGGCUACGGUACCGGCUACCACAUCUAGGCCUCCUGAACCACCUGACUAAUUGGACAAAGGCUAAACUCCACACCAAACUCCACGCAAACGCAGACUACAGUGACUCAGAUUUUCAGAUUCGGGUAUACGCAAACUGCAAGCACUCGACGCAGCCUCCCGUUUGCUAGAAUAAAACUUCUUUAAUGCAUCGACUUAAUAAUAAACAUG